UCGGGAAUUUUGCCCAAUGGACGAAAGUCUGAGGCAGCAACUCCGCGUGAGGGACGAAGGCUCUAGGGUCGUAAACCUCUUUUCUCAGGGAAGAUCCAAGACGGUACCUGAGGAAUAGGCCACGGCUAACUACGUGCCAGCAGCCGCGGUAAUACGUAGGUGGCAAGCGUUGUCCGGAUUUACUGGGCGUAAAGAGCGCGCAGGCGGUCGUUCAAGUCGAGUGUGAAAGCCCCCGGCUCAACUGGGGAGGGUCACUCGAUACUGAUCGACUCGAAGGCAGGAGAGGGAAGUGGAAUUCCCGGUGUAGUGGUGAAAUGCGUAGAUAUCGGGAGGAACACCAGUGGCGAAGGCGACUUCCUGGCCUGUUCUUGACGCUGAGGCGCGAAAGCUAGGGGAGCAAA
rnacentral:rRNA from 1 species